UCCUGAAAAAAGUGCAGUGAUGGCCUUGAUAUCAGAAAACUAUUUCACCAGAUAGCCAUAGGUUAUGGAUAUUAUUUCACAGAAUAGUCACUAUCAAAAUGCGUUAAAGAUAAAGAUAACAUCGAUAUUUCUCUCCCCACAGACAUUUUAGAGUUUUCGAUGCUCAUGUUAGAUGGUGGCUUAAACCAAAUAGUCCUUACAGUAAAAUUGGCAAGGCAGUUUAAUUGCUGUGGUCCUUUAGUUGGUGUAUUAGGGAUUCAGUGGUCACGUGUAAUAAAAAGUUAAACACACAUUCACCAAGCUUAAACAUUUCUUAGAUGUAAUUUAACUUUGUAAUCUCAAAUCAGAUAUUCUUUGUCAAUAAUUUUUAACCUUCCCAAUUUUAGAAGUUUAGCUUUGCCUGUACAUCAUGCUUGUGUCGAGGAGGGGUCUCUGUUAACUCCUCUGCACCCAUUUCAGCCUCUCAGAAAGCCUCUCUGGAAGGCUUUCAGCAGAGCUGGUGUUCCCUGCUCAGCUUCAGGCUGUGUUGUGAGCUGAAGGGCUUGAGGCACGCUGUGUGCUUGCUGAAGCUGGUCUGCUUUUCUGCUUUUCUGACUCACAAGUUCUCCUGCAGCAGUGAGAGUGGUGUAUCCUGCUUCACUCGGGCAUUUAGAUCUGCCUACAGUUGCCUAAAGUCAGCCUCACAUAUAUGCAAAAUAUAAUCCUGGUGGGAACCAGCAUUUCCCUGGAAGAGCUGUGUCCCAGCCGCAUCUCAUUUAACACUCCUGCACCACGUUUGCUGCUAUUUCACAGGAGAGAGAAAUGCGAGGGAAGAGAAUCGUAUUCAAAUUGUUUGUUCUUCUUGAGCCUGGUUCCAAUCCCAUUAAAUUAUAUUUCUGCAUUACAGUUACUUGGUCUUCUUUGGGAUACCAGUGUUGCUCCUGAGCAAGCAGACAAGGGGCUGAAUGCUGCUGUUCCUGCGUUGCGUGGCUCCAUCACCAGUGCAAGUGCCAAAAAGACACAUUCUUUAAUGUAUGCAAUAGUUUUUCUUGGAUACAAUGUCGACGAUAUACACUUGUCAUUGGACGUAUUUGUGUAAUUUUCCCUCUAUAACGUGUAACAGUGUGCCCCUGAAUUCCUGCAGCAGCAGAAGACCAGCUGAAUUCACCGUAAAGGCUACCUUCCAUCCAAGAGGCAUUCCAUCAGAGCUGCAGAAACUAUUCACGGUGCAGGGACUGCCAAGGCACACUGGAACGAGGAUAUCAAAAUCUUCUCCUGUAAUAUUAUUUCAGUCAUUUCAGUUUUAUAAAGGACAAAAGAAAACAUUACACAUUGCAUGGCUUGCCAAAGCCCGAUUUCCAAAUCCAGUGAUGGACAUCAGAAAGAUGACAGUAGAGAAAUGCCAAAGCAUAGGUGCUGGUUCUUGUACAGGAGCAACCUAG
rnacentral:lncRNA from 1 species